UUAAUUUGUGGCUGACUUUCAGAGC
rnacentral:piRNA from 1 species